rnacentral:rRNA from 1 species
AUUGAACGCUGGCGGCAGGCUUAACACAUGCAAGUCGAGCGGGGGAAGGUAGCUUGCUACCGGACCUAGCGGCGGACGGGUGAGUAAUGCUUAGGAAUCUGCCUAUUAGUGGGGGACAACAUCUCGAAAGGGAUGCUAAUACCGCAUACGUCCUACGGGAGAAAGCAGGGGAUCUUCGGACCUUGCGCUAAUAGCUGAGCCUAAGUCGGAUUAGCUAGUUGGUGGGGUAAAGGCCUACCAAGGCGACGAUCUGUAGCGGGUCUGAGAGGAUGAUACGCCAAACUGGGACUGAGACACGGCCCAGACUCCUACGGGAGGCAGCAGUGGGGAAUAUUGGACAAUGGGGGGAACCCUGAUCCAGCCAUGCCGCGUGUGUGAAGAAGGCCUUAUGGUUGUAAAGCACUUUAAGCGAGGAGGAGGCUACUGAGACUAAUACUCUUGGAUAGUGGACGUUACUCGCAGAAUAAGCACCGGCUAACUCUGUGCCAGCCGCCGCCGUAAUAC